GACGAACGCUGGCGGCGUGCUUAACACAUGCAAGUCGAGCGGAAAGGCCCUUCUGGGUACUCGAGCGGCGAACGGGUGAGUGACACAUGAGUAAGUUGCCCCAGACUUUGGGAUAACUAACGGAAAGGGGGGCUAGUACCGAAUACGACACAGCUUCGCAUGGGGGGUGGGGGGAAGGUAUUUUGGGCGGUUGGGGAUGGGCGGCCGGCCUAUCUGCUGGUGGGGGGGGUGCUGGCCUACGAAGGCGAGGACGGCUGGCCGGCCUGAGAGGGCGACCGGCCACACUGGGACGGGGAAACGGCCCAGCCUCCUACGGGAGGCAGCGGGGGGGAAUAUUGCACAAGGGUCGGAAGCCGGAGGCAGCGAGGCCGCGUGGGGGAUGCCGGCCUUCGGGUGGUAACCCUCUUUCAGCAGGGACGAAGCGUAAGUGACGGUACCUGCAGAAGAAGCGCCGGCCAACUACGUG
rnacentral:rRNA from 1 species